GAUGAAGAACGCAGCGAAAUGCGAUAAGUAAUGUGAAUUGCAGAAUUCAGUGAAUCAUCGAAUCUUUGAACGCACAUUGCGCCCCUUGGUAUUCCGAGGGGCAUGCCUGUUCGAGCGUCAUUAUAACCCUCAAGCUCAGCUUGGUGUUGGGGCCUGCUGCACUGGCAGCCCUUAAAAUCAGUGGCGGCGCCAUCUGGCUCUAAGCGUAGUAAUUCUUCUCGCUAUGGAGUCCUGGUGGGUGCUUGCCAUCAACCCCCAAUUUUUCUAUGGUUGACCUCGGAUCAGGUAGGGAUACCCGCUGAACUUAAGCAUAUCAAUAAGCGGAGGA
rnacentral:misc_RNA from 1 species